UCUGGAGGAGAAUCUGGGGGAGCUGAGCAGCAUGAGUGGGUACUACUGGGGGUUUACAAGGAGGGGGAGGUCGGAAACCGUCAUUAAGAGCUGAACAGUGAACACAUCCGGUUAGGACUGUGACACCUAGAGGAGUCCAGAUCAUUAAAAGGUGUUCAGUUGAUAUUUGUCCAGUGACUUGAAGAAAUGUCAGGCGGCCAGGGUAAUUUUUUAACUUAUAUUUUGCUUCUCUUUAUUAAAAAAAUGGGUUUUUUUCCUAAGUUUAUUUAUUUUGAGAGAGAGAGAGAGA